rnacentral:rRNA from 1 species
CAGAGAUGGGGACAUUUCCCCUUCGGGGGGACAGAGUGGACAGGUGGUGCAUGGGUUGUCGUCAGCUCGUGUCGUGAGAUAUUGGGUUAAAGUCCCGCAACGAAGCGCAACCCUUGAUCUUAGUUGCCAGCAUUGAGUUGGGCACUCUAAGGUGACUGCCGGUGACAAACUGGAGGAAGAGUGGGGAGGACGUCAAAUCACCAUGCCCCUUAUGACCUGGGCUACACACGUGCUACAAUGGGUGGUACAAAGGGCAGCCAAGCCGCGAGGCUAUAGCUAAUCCCAUAAAACCACUCUCAGUUCGGAUUGCAGGCUGCAACCCGCCUGCAUGAAGCUGGAAUCGCUAGUAAUCGCGGAUCAGCAUGCCGCGGUGAAUACGUUCCCGGGCCUUGUACACACCGCCCGUCACACCGCGAGGGUU